UUAGCCCCUCUCGGCUGUCUCUGAGGUUGGGACUGAGCUCCAUGUGACUCGAGCUGCCUGUGGGGCGUGGCUGGAGGGCCACUGCGUCCCCACCAGGAGUGACCUUGGCCUGUCCCCCCACUUCCAGGUGGUUUAUUUCACAGCCACGUUUCCGUACCUGAUGCUUGUCAUUUUGCUGAUCAGAGGUGUCACCCUUCCCGGAGCCUACCAGGGCAUCAUCUACUACUUGAAGCCAGAUUUGUUCCGCCUCAAGGACCCUCAGGUGUGGAUGGAUGCGGGCACACAGAUCUUCUUCUCCUUUGCCAUCUGCCAGGGGUGCCUGACAGCCCUGGGCAGCUACAACAAGUACCACAACAACUGCUACAAGGACUGCAUCGCCCUCUGCUUCCUGAACAGUGCCACCAGCUUUGUGGCUGGGUUUGUUGUCUUCUCCAUCCUGGGCUUCAUGUCCCAAGAGCAAGGGGUGCCCAUUUCUGAAGUGGCCGAGUCAGGGCGGGAUGUACAUCUUCCAGCUGUUUGACUACUAUGCUUCCAGUGGCAUAUGCCUGCUGUUCCUGUCAGUGUUUGAAGUGGUCUGCAUAAGCUGGGUGUAUGGGGCGGACCGUUUCUAUGACAACAUUGAGGACAUGAUUGGCUACCGGCCAUGGCCCCUGGUGAAGAUCUCCUGGCUCUUCCUGACCCCUGGACUUUGCCUGGCCACUUUCCUCUUCUCCUUGAGCAAGUACACCCCCCUCAAGUACAACAACGUCUAUGUGUACCCGCCCUGGGGAUACUCCAUUGGCUGGUUCCUGGCUCUGUCCUCCAUGGUCUGUGUCCCACUCUUCGUCGUCAUCACCCUCCUGAAGACUCAGGGUCCUUUCAGGAAGCGUCUGCGCCAGCUCAUCACCCCUGACUCCAGUCUGCCACAGCCCAAGCAACAUCCCUGCUUGGAUGGCAGUGCUGGCCGGAACUUUGGGCCCUCCCCAACAAUGGAAGGACUGAUAGCCGGGGAGAAGGAGACCCAUUUGUAGGGUGUGGCCAGAGGCCAGGCGGCUCCUAAGCCGGGAACCUAGGUCAGGGCCACCCUCCAUUCUCAGCGGACAGCCUCUGCCUCUGUCUCCUGCCACAAUCCUGCUGGGAACCUCUGGAGAGCCACAGGCACCCCCAGCUGGAGGCCAGACUCCUCUCUUGUGCUAGCUGGAGCAGCUCCUUCCCCUUUGCUGAUAACACCACCACUGGGACGUGCCAUGUUGGGACGCCACUCCCUGUGGGAAGGCACCAUCGUUUUUAUAGAGGGGGGUCUUUUUGGAGGCCGCCAUCUGAUUGUAACACCUCGAGUUAUGAGGGUUCCACUGUGGGGAUACCUCCUGUUAGAGCGUACUGCAUUUGCACACGGGGAGAGGAGCUAUAAUUGGAACGCACACUGCCGUCCAAUGUGGAGAGCCUGACGGGACAAUACCCUGUUGGAAGUGACAACUGAACACACUGUGUUGGAUCGGAGGUUCCGUUAGGGGAUCCUUCCCUAGGCUCAACGACAGAGGCAAGCCUUCGCAUGCCGUCAGUCUGGAGUUUCCUCCGAGUCUCUCAUGGCAUCUCCAGCUCCCGCCCUAGUUCCGCACUGUUCUUGCAGUGUUUCAUCAACUCCUGGAGCGUUGGAAUGGAAGGGGCUUAGGAGAUGAUUCCUAGACUUCACAAACACUCGGCAUGCCUCCCUGCACUGUCCGUUCCUCUGCCCAAGGCCGAUAUUGCUAACUGAUCACAGAUUCUUUCCCACCUCACAAUCCUUCCGAAUGUGCUCCAGGCAGCACCAUUUGCCAUCCUGCUUCUAACGCAAACCCCUGACUUCAUGGAUGAGGAACCUGGAGACCAAAGAGACAAAGGGACUUUUUCAAGUUCACAUGGGGACCCCCUUCUUGGGGGCCAGAGAUAUGACUAAAACCUUAUCUCCUUGUGCUCAGGCCAGUGUCUUCCCAUUAACCCCCUGCCUUAGUUAACAAGUGUGUAUGGAUUGCC
rnacentral:sRNA from 1 species